GCCCUCGUAGCUCAGUUGGAUAGAGCAGCCGCCUCCUAAGCGGCAGGUCGGACGUUCGAAUCGUCUCGAGGGCACCA
rnacentral:tRNA from 1 species